CUUCAACUCUAUCUUCUCUCUGUGAAUCUGCAUUCUGAAUGGUGGAUGUGUCGAACAUUGAUGAUCUCUACAGACCUGUAAUGAUUUGUGAGGAUGAUCGCACCACUUUAUGAACAUCUAAGGGACUGAGUUCUUCACACUCGAUAUUUUUUAUGGAGUUUUGUUAAUUGCAAAUUAAUGUUUCUUAUCAUGGCUGGCUUUGAAUCUGUUGUUUUCACAGUUUGCGCUUUGUUGUUUAUUGCAAAACUGCACUGAGCAAAGC